rnacentral:lncRNA from 7 species
AGUAUGGACCAGUAUGGAGCGCUAUGGGGCUCUCCAGGCAGCCCCACUGCCAUCCCAGUCCCCCCCAGUGCCCCCCAAUCCCCCCCAGUCCCCUCCCAGUGCCCCCAGUACCCCAUAUCCUUCCCCAGUACCCCCACAUCCCCUCCCAGUGCCCCCAGUUGCUCCCAGUGCCCCCAUAUCCCAUCCCAGUCCCCCCUAGGACCCCCAUAUCCUCUCCCAGUACCCCCAUAUCCCCUCCCAGUCCCUCCCAGUGCCUCCCAAUCCCCCCCAGCCCCCUCCCAGUGCCCCCAUAUCCCCUCCCAGUCCCUCCCAGUGCUCCUCAGUCCCACCCCCAACCACCCCCAAUCCCCUCCCAGUGCCCUCAGUCCUUUCCAGUGCCCCCAUAUCGCCUCCCAGUGCCCCCCAGUCCCCCCCAGUGCCCCCAUAUCCACUCCCAGUGCCCCCCAGUCCGUCCCAGUGCCCCUAUAUCCCAUCCCAGUCUCCCCUAGGACCCCCAUAUCCUCUCCCAGUACCCCAUAUCCGCUCCCAGUCCCCCCCAGUGCCCCCAUAUCCCUUCCAGUGCCCCCAUAUCCACUCCCAGUCCCCCCUAGGACCCCCAUAUCCUCUCCCAGUGUCCCAUAUCCCCUCCCAGUGCCCCCCAGUCCCUCCCAGUGCCCCCGUGUCCCCCCCCAUUGGGUCCCGUUGCCCCCCCCCCGCAGGGUCCGGCCCGCCAUGCCUACGGCGCCGCGUUCCUUCACGCCUUGGAGCAGCUCUGCUUUGAGUUCCUGCAGCGCCUGGAGAGCGCUCUGCCCCCCCCCGACCUCAGCCAGCUGUACGCCGUGGUGUGGAGCCACGCCCCUUCCGGUCCCCGCCCCCCCUCUCUGCCAAUCCUGCAUCGCUACCUGGCUGACAUGGGCCACGCCCCUUCCGGCGCUGUGCCCCGCCCGCUGAGCUCCGCCCAGCAACAGAAGGGCCAUUCGGAAUGGUGAGAGGCCACGCCCACUUUCCACAAAGCCACGCCCCCUCCCCCAGAAGCCCCGCCUCCUACUAUAAGGGAUGCUGGUGCUAAGCCAUGUCCCCUCCGUGGCCACGCCCCCGUCACACAAACCCUACGGCUGCCCCAAGAUGCAAUUUGCAUAAGCCACGCCCCUUCACGUGAAGCCACGCCCCCUUUCCCCAAAGCCCCGCCCCCGCUAAGCCACGCCCCUUCCUUUAAAAGCCUUUCUCUAAGCCCCACCCAUUCCCCAGGCCACGCCCCUUCGCAGCCGCGCCCUUUCUCCAUAGCCCCGCCCCUUCUCUAAGCCACGCCCCCUUUCCUCCUUAGCUCCACCCCCACCAAGCCCCGCCCACAGCGCCGCCAGCUCCGCCCCCUCCGCGCGCAGCCAUUGG